UUGCAUCUGUGUUUUGUUACCGUUUAGAAAAAGCAACUUUCCUACAGCGGACAUCUUCAAUUUAACAGACCAAAACACUAAGAGGAAACUACCUAUCUUAUCAUUUUCUUUUCUCUCAGGUCAGGUGUUCCUAAGGAGUACCUGAGUGGAGGUCAAAGGUCAACUCAGCGCAGGAACCGGACAUGCUCCGACAGCUCCGUUUAUGACACUGAGCGUAUGCUGCCCGGUGUCAACGGGGACUCGUCUUCCAUUCCCGAAGAGAGAGGAGGCAUGAGCCCCCCAAAGACCACACUGACUGACACGGACACAGACCUGUCCAUCUUAAGACCUGACGUCCAUCACGACCCUGCUAGACUCUGAGAGGACGAAUUGACAGACAUUUGGUCUCCACUGGGAUUGUCCUCUGAAGUCAGCUGGUUGCCAAACACAUGCACUUUUGGAAUCAUAAAGACUCUUUUCCUGAAGUCUGUCUUAUGGGUUUCAGUUGCACAGGACACACUGGGGGUCAAAAAAGACAGCAGGAAAGACCUGAACCUGAGACAAAGAAAGGAACAGACACUAUGGACACACUCUUGGGGAUAAUGGUGGCCUUGUAGUUGGGAAGGAUUGUAAUCUGAAGCUCAAAUCCUGAUACAAAUCUGUGAAUGAAAAGGGCGGUUUUUGUUAAAUAUGUGAUGUGUAGUAGACAGCUUCCUGGUAUUUUAUGAAUAACAAUAACUGGAUUGAGUGUUCACGGUACCCAAUAAUGUGCAGGAAGUGCUGAAUUUUAGAGGUCAUGUCUUCUAAAGGUUUGUUUUCGUGGCGUUUUGAUGGGACGUUGAAAUCAAAAGCAUCUUCUCGUAUAGUUCCACAUACUCAAGAACUUGCCAAGCAUCUCCUACAUUCCUCUUCCAGGCCAGUUGCGGAGGAUGGAACCAGACUGAUAAGACGGCGUCCCUGAAGGUUCCUGAAGCCACUGGUCUCUGCCACGGCAUACUCACAGAGAGCAGCGGCUCUUCGGAUGCCUUUGUUUGUUGUUUUCUUUGCACAAAUCUUUCACAUUAAAUGUGCCGCCAUGCUUCUUCUCCAUAGUUCAUCUGGUCCCGCUCGGUUCCAGACUC